GACGAACGCUGGCGGCGUGCUUAACACAUGCAAGUCGAACGGUGAAGCUCCAGCUUGCUGGAGUGGAUCAGUGGCGAACGGGUGAGUAACACGUGAGCAACCUGCCCCUGACUCUGGAAUAAGCGCUGGAAACGGCGUCUAAUACUGGAUACGAGAAGGGUCCGCAUGGGCACUUUCUGGAAAGUUGUUCGGUUGGGGAUGGGCUCGCGGACUAUCAGCUUGUUGGUGAGGUAAUGGCUCACCAAGGCGACGACGGGUAGCCGGCCUGAGAGGGCGACCGGCCACACUGGGACUGAGACACGGCCCAGACUCCUACGGGAGGCAGCAGUGGGGAAUAUUGCACAAUGGGCGAAAGCCUGAUGCAGCGACGCCGCGUGAGGGAUGACGGCCUUCGGGUUGUAAACCUCUUUCAGCAGGGAAGAAGCGAAAGUGACGGUACCUGCAGAAGAAGCACCGGCUAACUACGUG
rnacentral:rRNA from 1 species